CGCGCGGGGCUCCGUCGCGGUAGCGUCGCCCGCGGGGUGACUGCCUUCGGGGCUCCCGGGGCUGCACGGACUGAACCCCUUUGGCGACCGGCCGUGCGCUGGCCGUUGCCCCGUGGGACGCUCGUUUUUGUCCGUUUCCCAGUCGGACUCGCUGCUCGUCGUUCGUCCUGUCAGGCGCGGGGCGCCCGCAGCCCUCUGCCCCCGGGGGCGCGCAGACCCUCCGGGCGGGGCGGCCUGGGCCCGCACCUCCCCGCGCCCGGGCGGGGGGCCCGAAGGGGGAGAGGCCUGGCGCCGCCCCCAGAGCCAGCGCCGACCCCACGCGGGGCCGAGGUUUCCGCCAAAGGCCCGCGUGUGGAGACCGUGGGGAAGUGCUUCCGAGGGGCGCGGCCACCGCACGGCCACCGCACGGCCGCCGCGUUCAGUGAACGGACUCGAGCAUUUAUCGAGGUUUGGACCUUAAAGAACAGCUUGAGACGUCUGCAGAAGGCGGACCGUUCAAGGGCGAAGAUGGGGUUUGCAGGAGCGGGGAGACAUGAGGGAAGGGGGGCCACAGCCGACGAGCAGGGUGAAGGGUAGAAGCAUCUACGAUCGCUAGGAACCGGGUUCGUGCUGAAGGCGGGCCGGGGCAAGAUGGGGGGAGGGGGAUUUGAGCAGGUGCCCGGCCGGACGCCCGAGGGGCCAAGGACCGAGCCACGGGGCGGGUGGGGUCGGGGGCGGCUACUUCGAAGACCCCCAGGAGCUCCAGGGCUCGAGUGCGCUCCGAGCCCUUGUCGCCCCAGCUGCGCGCCGCAGUCCGACGGCCGUCGCUAGAAAACGAGCCAGAAGCCUGUCCUGAAACACCUGAGCAUGGAGAACCCGGCGGGCACGCGGCGCCCCGCAGACCUACCGCGCUGCGGCUGGCGCGUGGGGGGGCGCCUGGCGGGAGCCGGAGAGGCGGGAGGCGCGACGCAGAGCCUCAAGGCUCCGCGCCAGCAGCUCCCCAUCUCCUACUAGAAUCGUGGGGAGCUUCCGAAUGUGCUCGGAGAGGAUCCUCACUCCGGACCAACGACCUUGACCUCCGAUGCCGCGAUGUGCGCCUCCGUCAGUUGUUGCUGCCCGCAGGCGACUCCCGCAUGUAGCCAAGGUUGAGAACAGCUGGCUUAGCUAAGGCGUUUGGACUUGACCCUAAGGACAGCGAAGCUCUGGCGGGCCUUCAGCAGGGAGGGCUUGAGAGCAGGGGCGCUGGUGAGGCUCUGUUGGUUGAGUGCCUGACUCUGGAUUUCGGCUUAGGUCGUGAGAUCGAGCCCCGCUUUGCACUCCGUGGUGGGCAGCGGUCCGCUUGGGAUUCUCUCCCUCUCCCUCUGCCCCUCUUGCUGGUUCUCUUGCUUUCUCUAAACUAAAAUCUUUUUUAAAAGUCUAUCAUAACAAAAUCUUAGGUGACACAAAAGGUGACCCUUAGAGCUUUGGUUUGGACCAGAGACAAAAGUAGGGUAUCUUACAGAAAUAAAUAAUUGAAGUAAAAUUUCAGAUUUGUGCACUCAAGCUUGUCACAACAAUGCAGAGAAGGAGCGCUUGGUGGCUGCAAGUCACCAAGAGGUGAGGCAAGGAGAGACUAACAGGGUCAGUGGAAUUUAGAGACUGUGGUUGGCGAAGGCCUUCAGCUUGAUGGUGCGUGUGACUGACUCUCAAGGUGGGCGUGAAGGUGAGGGCGAGCUUCUGCGCGUGCUCGCUCCCUGACGGGGCAGUCGGACCUGUGCGUGGAAGCGGACCCCAAGGAACACCCCGACUGACCUGCUCCCGCAGCACACCGCCCCCCACGCUCCUGUGUCCAGUUAUCACAAGUCUGAAUUACAGGCGCUUCAGGAAACUGGCCUAGUGAUUUAAUUUAUACACAGAGCAAUUCCACAACUCACACCUGAAUCCCCUGGAGCUUGAGGCAUAAAAAUAAUAGCCUGAGUAUUUCUGAAUUGCAUGUGUAGAUACUACACAAAGAAAGUAUCACUGAAUCCCAAAAGCCUUAAUUUUACAAAUGUAAAAAUUAAGGAAUUUGCCAAGAGUAUCAGGAAGGAAGAAACCGAAAAGCACUUGGGUGAUAAUCUCUAUUCCCACUCAGAAUACAAAAUUGAAAAUACAAGCCAUCAUGCGUUUUCUUAAAAAGGACACCAAGACAUUCUGAUUGAGCUGCUACAAGCAGAUCUGGAAGGUUUCACUGGCAGCAGCACACGUGCCUAGAAGCAGAAUCAAAUUCUAAAAUAAUAGUUUAUUCAGUAGUUCUGGAAUAACGGACACAUUAGUUGCUAACUUAGUAGCACUCCAGCUGCUGGAAUUGAGGCCAUUCGAGAUCACAGGUAACUAGGCUACUCCCAAGAAACCCAUGUAUUUUAAGUAACAGAAGUGGAGUCAAGCGUUAAGAAAAAGCGUUCUGGGAUCCGGAGCCGUCUGGUCGUCAGUGAGCGGGGGUGAGCGCCUCGUAGAGCCUCCGCGCCGCCAGCUCCACCAUUUCCCGCAGCGACUCGUCGUCCUCGCUUCCUUCCUCACAGUCCACCGUCUGCAAGCGAAAGCACAAAUGGCCCCUUCGCCCUACGUGUCUCCCAGGGCUACGUGGAAGACAGGCUGAUCCUCUUCAAGAAUCCUCUCCCCCAGGGUGGUCACAGAGGCCUGGCCCUGGGGGACCCCAAGCUGCGGCCCUCGGGCCUGCAGGCCUGCGCCACACACGUAUCCCCGACAGUACCAUCACCGGGUCUAAUUAGGGACACACUUUGGGAAAAGGAAUAAAUGGAAAAUCUAUAUGUACUUCAAAGCCCAUACUCUGACCCAGUAAAUCACACUAGGAACUCA